GCAUAUCAAUAAGCGGAGGAAAAGAAACCAACCGGGAUUGCCUUCAGUAACGGCGAAGUGAAGCGGCAAGAAGCUCAAAUUUGAAAGCUGGCUCCUUCGGGGUCCGCAUUGUAAUUUGCAGAGGAKGCUUCGGGUGCGGCCCCUGUCUAAGUGCCCUGGAACGGGCUGUCAGAGAGGGUGAGAAUCCCGUCUGGGAUGGGGUGUCCGCGCCCGUGUGAAGCUCCUUCGACGAGUCGAGUUGUUUGGGAAUGCAGCUCUAAAUGGGUGGUAAAUUUCAUCUAAAGCUAAAUAUUGGCCGGAGACCGAUAGCGCACAAGUAGAGUGAUCGAAAGAUGAAAAGCACUUUGAAAAGAGAGUUAAACAGCACGUGAAAUUGUUGAAAGGGAAGCGCUUGCGACCAGACUCGCCCGCGGGGUUCAGCCGGCAUUCGUGCCGGUGUACUUCCCCGUGGGCGGGCCAGCGUCGGUUUGGGCGGCCGGUCAGCGGCUCCCGGAAUGUAGCGCCUCUCGGGGCGCCUUAUAGCCGGGGGUGCAGUGCGGCCAGCCUGGACCGAGGAACGCGCUUCGGCACGGACGCUGGCAUAAUGGUCGUAAACGACCCGUCUUGAAACACGGACCAAGGAGUCUAACAUCUACGCGAGUGUUCGGGUGUCAAACCCGUGCGCGCAGUGAAAGCGAACGGAGGUGGGAGCCCCCUGAGGGGCGCACCAUCGACCGAUCCUGAUGUCUUCGGAUGGAUUUGAGUAGGAGCGUAGCUGUGGGGACCCGAAAGAUGGUGAACUAUGCCUGAAUAGGGCGAAGCCAGAGGAAACUCUGGUGGAGGCUCGCAGCGGUUCUGACGUGCAAAUCGAUCGUCGAAUUUGGGUAUAGGGGGCGAAAGACUAAUCGAACCAUCUGGUAGCUGGUUCUGC
rnacentral:rRNA from 1 species